rnacentral:rRNA from 1 species
GUGGGGAAUUUUGGACAAUGGGCGCAAGCCUGAUCCAGCCAUGCCGCGUGCAGGAUGAAGGCCUUCGGGUUGUAAACUGCUUUUGUACGGAACGAAAAGACUUCUUCUAAUACAGGAGGUCCAUGACGGUACCGUAAGAAUAAGCACCGGCUAACUACGUGCCAGCAGCCGCGGUAAUACGUAGGGUGCAAGCGUUAAUCGGAAUUACUGGGCGUAAAGCGUGCGCAGGCGGUUAUAUAAGACAGAUGUGAAAUCCCCGGGCUCAACCUGGGAACUGCAUUUGUGACUGUAUAGCUAGAGUACGGUAGAGGGGGAUGGAAUUCCGCGUGUAGCAGUGAAAUGCGUAGAUAUGCGGAGGAACACCGAUGGCGAAGGCAAUCCCCUGGACCUGUACUGACGCUCAUGCACGAAAGCGUGGGGAGCAAACAGGAUUAGAAACCCGGGUAGUCC